rnacentral:rRNA from 1 species
UACGUAGGGUGCAAGCGUUAUCCGGAAUUAUUGGGCGUAAAGAGCUCGUAGGCGGUUUGUCGCGUCUGCUGUGAAAACCGGAGGCUCAACCUCCGGCCUGCAGUGGGUACGGGCAAACUAGAGUGCGGUAGGGGAGAUUGGAAUUCCUGGUGUAGCGGUGGAAUGCGCAGAUAUCAGGAGGAACACCGAUGGCGAAGGCAGAUCUCUGGGCCGUGAACUGACGCUGAGGAGCGAAAGCUAGGGGAGCGAACGGG